CUUAUCAUUUAAUUCCAAAUGCAUUCAAGGCGCAUGCGUUGAGGAUGUGUGACUGAACAGGAAAUUCCAAAUAUUCAAUGACCUUUCACUUAAUUUGCUCCAAAAGCGACGGCAGUGAAAAUUCUAAGCUAUCAUCUUACAAGUGCAAUCGCAAUCGUCUUCAACAAUUUUUGCUUUUGUUUACUAAUCAUUUCCAUUAUAUUUCAGUUUGGAUAUAUAUUUCUUUUAAAAUUGUGCUAAUAUAUGUGUGCUUUUAUUGUGAAAUUACAUAUCAGUGGUUGUUUUUGCUGUUUUCUUCGUUCUGUGAUUUAUUUUUCAAUUGGGAUUUCUUUAUUUCUGGAAACGAUGGCAGAAAGAGCAUCCAGCAACCAGAGAACUCAGAUCGGAUCAGAGCCAGUUCAAUUCACACGACUUGGAUGCCAACAAAGGAUGAUAGUUGGGCAAACACGGACCCCUGGACACACCAGAGGUGGGAUCAGGUGCCUAGGAGGAGUAAGCAUCCCCUGUUGACCGGUCACACCCGCCGUGAGCCCCAUAUCCUGAUCAGAUAAUGAGAAUGAUAUAGACAUGAUAGAAGUGGAAAAAGAUUGUGACUAUUUUAGUAUGAAAAAGGAUUUGUCAACAAAUGAUGCAGAAAGGAAACGAAAUAAAAAAGAUUCCUGUACACUUCAAUUCACAAAGAAAACACCCACCAUUAUAGAUCUACACAUUUUUAUAUGACGGUCACUGAACGGGACGUAUUAUGUUAUGAUGCUGUCCAUGUGUCUGUCUGACUGGCUGGCUGUCCGUCCGGGGUCAUGUUUUCCGGACUUUUUCCCGUAACAGAUGCAUAUACAACUUUGAAAGAAAACCAAGAAAGGGACUACUAGAUGAGGAGAGUGAAUGAGGUUCAUCAAUUGAUGUUGAUCCUGAAGCCAUUAAAGAAAUAAGCAGUGAGCUUCAUUUUACCUGUAAGCCUAAAAGUCAGCGGCACACUUGGACGGAAAAAGAGGACAGACUUGUAACAGUUUUUCACAGAGGAAAUAAAUGAUGGAACACAAAAAGGAAAUAAGGGAGCACUAAACAUCAAAAAUAAAAUGAAGAGCUUUAUUCAGCAAUAUCCAGAAUUUCUUAAGGACUAUGAAGUGUCUAAACAAAAAUUCCUGAUCAGAGUGAAACUUUUAAACUGCAGAAGAAGGAAAAGAGAGGUGUAUUUCCACAAUCUUGGAAACAUUGCUCAGUAAAAAAUUACAUUAUGGAGUCAUCAUUUAAAAAGUUGACAAAGUGAACAUGUAUUUCAGCUUUACAUCUACAAGUUUCAUGAAAGUUUAAACAUGGGGUGUUGUUGGAGUGGUAGUACCUUUGUUCUAAGAAGCAAGUUGAUUCAAAGCAGCACACUUUUUAUCUAACAAACACAAGAAAACAACUACAUGUUAAAAGCAUCACAGAUAUUCUUUAUCGCAAAGAUCUUAAUGGUGACAAAAAAUACUUUUUUCUCAGUAGCGUAUCUUUCAACAGCAGUCUUAGCAACACAUCUACAUGCCCUCAUUAAGUUUUGUAAAGGUUUGAAAUCUGGGUGUAGGUGGAGUGGUAGUACCUUUGUUCUACACUGGUCCACACACCACACACACAUUUCAGACUCUUACAUCCCCUUACACAAACAGCACUAUAUAAACAGUCUUUUCAGCAAAACAAAUGCCAAGCUAUUGUAUAUUUACCCAAAGGAACACAACUUACAUUUCCAAUUUGUGUAUCUGAAACAUGUAUAUCACCAUGUCUCCAUACAAAACGGCACUAUUCUUUUCAGCAACACAUUACCACCCAAGUCAAUGUAUGAUGUACUGUCAUGACAUUGAUAAUAACUUCCAAUGAUAUACAUAGGCUAAUGUAUACAAUUACAUAUUAUAUAUUCUGGAUGAUCUAAAUCUAUAAAUCUUUUAAUUUAUGAAAUGUAUUCCAUUUCUUCUAAAAACAUCUACAUAAUAAUUUUUGCAUGCUUUUCUACUUUGUACACAUUUGUCCAAGUGGUAACAAAGUUAUUUAACAAAGGCGAAUUGCCUCUACAUUUGCAACUAUACACAAAGUAUUUUAAAUAAUAAUUAAUCAAAUUGAUCAUUUCAUUUUCUGAGCUACCCAGCAAAAAGUUUUUUUUAUCAACAACAAUAUUUACUGAAAAAAAAUCCCUAAACCAGGACUGCACAUUCUUGAAAAAUAAAACAACAUUUUCACAGUCAUACACAACAUGCUCUAUUGAUUCCUUUUGUUUUGCACAAAACGAACAUAAAUCGUUGUCUAUUUUCUUUAUUUUUAACAAAAAUGAUUUGUGAUUAAAAUUUUAUGAUUUAUACGAUAUUGUACCUCUACAUUUGUAGAUAUUUGUAUCCUUUGUAAUAGUAAAAACAUUUUUAUUAAUUGUAUUCCACUCUUCUUGAGAGAUAUCAAAUUGUAUAUCCCACUUCUUUUGACCUGUAGGUUUUUCUUCACAAUAAUUAAAAAUUUGGUAGUUUUUUCUUGUUUCUUUUAAAAUACAUGAAAGGGGCUAUAUGUAGAGGAAUAGUAGGUUCUUGAACUUUUAUAAACUGGUUUAUUCCAUUAACUCUCAUUGCUUUCUUCAAUGCUUGUCUUAAACCAGAAAAUGAGAUUUUACUUUAUACAUUUCCAUGAAUUGAUUAUAAUUCAUGGUAUCUCCAUUCUCAUCUAACAAUGAGUUAACUGUAUAUACAUUAUUUUCACACCAUUCUUUCAGAUAUAAAGUUUUUCUAUUUAUACCUUUAUGUUUUCAUUGUACUAUAAAACACUGUUAACCAUAAGUUCAGAAGAUUUUUUUUCUCAAAAAGAAAAUACAAAAAUUUCUCACAAAAGAUACUACAAUAACUAUUUUUACAGCAGCACAAAAACAUCCUGUAACAAAAGUCAUUCAGCAACACAUCUACAUGCCCUCAUUAAGUUUUGUAGAUGUUUGAAAUCUGGGUGUAGGUGGAGUGGUACAGUAUAUCCGCAACGUUAUUCUUGACAUGAUAAACAAUAGAGCACGAUACACGCACGAUAGGAUAGGAUACAUGCACGAUACGAUAGGAUACACGCAUGAUACGAUAGGAUAAACGCAAAACCUGAUAAACGAUCUUCACGAUAAACCUGAUAUAAACGCAAAACAUGAUAAACGAUCUUCAUGAUAAACGGAAAACCUGAUAGGAAUGUUGUAAAUUUAGAAACGAGUUAGACAGAACGAAAUUUUGAUACCUACAACAUAAUUACAUUAUGUUGAUAAUAAUAUUGAAGGAUUUCAAUGUUCAUUAUAUACCUACAUUACGGACAAUGCAGAUUUUUUGUUUUCUGCGUUCUUGCAGUUGGCAAAAUCUAUAGGUAACUCAGGAAAACCGCGUUCUCAUCGCGGGGUGACUAUCAGUUACCUGUCCCCGUCGCGGUAACAUUUGUUUAAAACAUUGAUCGAUUUUGUACCAUAUAAUUUCUUUCACCCAAGGUCGUACUUUUUAUUAUUAUUAUUAUUUAUGUUUUUUAUGCCAUCACAGCUAAAAUAAAAAAAACUAAAAUGCAUACGGCAUUGAAUUCAUUAUUUGAUAUCUAUAUGAAUUUUCUCAGCCAAUGAUUCUAAAACUUAUAUUGUACGUCACCUAAUGUUUAAUAUAUAAAUUAUACAGGGAAUUCACUAAAUGUAAUAUAAUGUAGUGGUAUCAUGCUUCCGUAGCUCUCUUAUGCUAAUGUAUAUUACCUUGAAUAUGAAAUAAAACCAAGUAAUAUUUUGUGUGUAGCGAGGAGGGGGUUAUUUUGCAUCAAGCUCUAAGUUCACGGCUCAUUCAACAUCUCAAGUUAUUUUCAUAAAAAAAUCAACCGCACUACACCUGUUAGAUAUUUUUACACUAUGAAUGAUAAUUGAUAGUCAUAAGUAAUUGGAACAUAGUUAUUUGAAUUGAUAUUUUGUUAACAAAACAUAAAUAAACUGUUUAAAAAGCAUAAACAAACCCCCGCUUGUUUUAAAUUCACAAUUUUGAAACUCUUAGUGUGUAAAAAAUUCAAAUAAUCAUCAAAACCAACAUAAAUUUCCAGUAUCUACACGUACGACUAUUGGUACAUGUGUACAUGUACAAAGUAAAAACAAAACAACGAUGACAGCGGAAUUGUGCCCAUUUGAGCAGAAUUUUGGGGGAUGCAACACCCUUGCACCCUUUUAAAACUUAAUCUUCUAAUGGGUGAAAUACAAUGUCUCUGAGAAUGUUAGCUGUCAAAACACGGGUGAUACACAAAAUCAGAUAUAAGGACGCGCACAAGUUCAGCAGUUGCUGUAUAAGUAGCAUACAAGUGAAAAAAAUCGGAAGAAAAAGAACCAUUAUUAAAAUAUACAUGUAUGUGAUAAACAAUGUAAUUUACUGAUUUUUCCUUUCAAAUCGGAACUCCCUAUUUUUCUGUUAGUGUUAAUUACCAAUAAUUGUUUCUAGACAAACAAGUGUUUAUGAACUUCAGAUGAAGGAGCUUUCAGAUUUACUGUCCUCGGUUUUCUUGACAGACCACUGCCUACUUUCCAGACUACUUAGAAUUAAAUUGUGAUAAAUUUUCACUCUCUCUGGACAGACAAAUACAUUUAGCUCUUCUUCUGCCUUAAAAUCGACAACUUUAUGUCCUCCUUCAAAUAUACCGUCUUUCCUCGAUUCCUAAAAAUAGCUUCUUUAACAAAACGAAUAAAGGUUUCGGAAAGUAUCAUACUUUUUCAUUAGAUUUUAUAUACGAUCCCGAUAGUUUCCGAAGCUACACCAUAAACGAUUUUCACGAUAAACGGAAAACCUGAUACACGCAAAACACGAUAGACCUGAUAAAUGCAAAACAUGAUAGAAAACAGAAAACCUGAUACACAAUAGGAUAGGAUACACGCACGAUACGAUAGGAUACACGCACGAUAGAGCACGAUAGGAAUGUCAAGAAUAACGUUGCGGGUACUGUAGUACCUUUGUUCUACACUGGUCCACACACCACACUCACAUUCCAGACUCUUAUCUAAAACUCAUCACAUCCCCUUACAGAAACAGCACUAUCUAAAAUAUCUUCUCAGCAACAUGACCACUCAAGCUAGGACAGAUUUUCACCUUAUAUACACAAAAAACCCACAUUCAUGUAAUUGUACCCAACACAAGAAAGAACCGAGAAAGAUUGAAAAGGUACUAUCCUAACCAACCUACAUCACCUCGCAGAAACAGUGCUUCAUUUAUGUCCUGAGGUAAACACGAACUACAGUCACAAGCCUCCAGGAGAUGAUCAUGGACUUCAAGCAGUGACCAGAGUUGACCAAAGACUACAUCCACUAAUUGCACAGAUUUGACCAUAGACUACAACAAGAAGUACAUAGUAGUUGACCAUGAACAACAAUCACAAGCAGCCAGUGGAGGAAGGUAAACUAUAGCUGGAUGGACUACAAUGGAUGUCUACAAUGGACCACCAUGGACCUAAAAAAAAUAGUCGCUCCAGCUCACACAGCCUUGUCUACCUACCUGUCCAGCAGUCGGCCUACUGCACUGUACCUGUCAAGAUGUUUACCUGUUUUCUAUGUUUUUUGGUUGAAGCUUUGCCACAUUUAAGUCUGCAGUCAAGCCAUGAAUACCAGAGAGCAUAUCAAAAGGAUUACCACCUGAUGUCAGAAGACGUCAGAGGCACACACAAUGAAGAGGAAAUAUGCAGAUGAAUUAAACCAAUUCAGUACUGCCCACCUCCUUAGCCAACAGGACAACACUUCUGCCAGACCCAUGGGAUGCUGAGUGGACUGCUGAGUGACACAUGGCGUUAAAGUUCCUGGCCCCAGUUGUGUUCUUGGGAGCAUAAGUGAAGACCCGCUGGUGAAGAUUCUCACAUUUGUUGGUUGUGGCGAGUUGGCAGACCUUCUCUCCAGAAUUGUUUACAGAUGACAGACUGAAUACUGUCCAUGUCUGCAUAGUCAAGGCCCAGAUGUUUUCCGUGCGGAAGGAACUUGGUGCUGUAGCCCGUGAGAUGGGCUGUGCAGGGUUCUUAGCUUGUGGAUGAAGCAGUGCUGAAUUGGUACUUCAUUCUCUCUAGAAUAGUCCCUUAUGGUCUUUUGGAUCUGAGCACUGGCAUCACUGGUAAUGGAACAAGGUUGAACAUAACUUAUUGGCAGUUUGGAGGGCCAAAACCAGUUUUCGGGAGGUGUUGUUUUCCACCGAAGCUCUGGGUUGCUGCCUCGAAUCCUGGCUGUGGCCUGUUGUUGUAAGAGGUGUCAGUCUCGAUGUGGACUUCGUUUCCUCGACCGAGAAAUUGGUUGACACGUCAGACAUACCGCUGAUUGUCGAUCAUCGAGGCUACGUUGAUUUCCUCCACUCUGUCACACAUCUGAUUGAGUUUCCGCUGCAGACCACGGCUGUCAGGUGGAUUUAUGUUGAGGCAGCACAUAAGGAAACGUGCAUCAGACACUCCCAUCUUAGACUUGGUGAGAGCCAGUACCAGUCCAUCAUUGAGGGCACUUGAUUCCGGUCCUCAAGUCUUCUUGACAGUUGUGUAGAGCUGCAUGUCUGGCUUGGCAGGUCGCAGUUUGGUUGGGAGGAUGAGAUCUUCAGUGGACAUACACACAGCAUCCCAGUAUUCAUCAAGACUUAUACGGUCCCACUCUGUGUUUUGGUCACAUGUACUCGAACUAGCAGGUGCAUCAACGUCUCGGAGGGCACCAGCUCGGGCGUCAGAAUGCUGAGGGAAAUAGCUCACUUUUUUUGACGAAGAAAUCGCAGAUCACGAGGAGAUGGCAAAUGACCUUGGCACUCUGGGCAAUCUUAAUCAUGAAAGUUUGCUGAAAGUCAACUUAAAAGGUCUCCGCUGGUUAACGGCUCAAUCCAAAGUAGAAGACGUAGGCUUGCUGAAGAAAGAAAUACCAUCUUUCAAGGAAAUAGAUAUGUCACAUUUUCAAGGUUUUUCAUAAAGGAAAAUACAAUGAAGAAGAUUCAGACAUCAUCACGUGGAUCAGUUAAAUUAAAGGAGGAAGAGAGACCCAUUCUCUACUACAGUAAACGUUACAAUUACCUUUUGGAAGAGGAUAGAAAAGAAAUUGUGAAAACACUUCUGCUUCUGAGAGUAAUGGAAAAUCGAGCAAGAACAAAAAAGAAAACCUAAACAGUGUUAUAGAUUUUUUUAGAGUCAAUUUUCUAGGACUGGUCAUAGCUAGUUUAGACAAGUUAAUAUGCAAUUUUUUGAAUUGAUAAAUGAUGACUUAAUUGAAUUUAUUAAUUCAUAUGGAAAUUAAUACAUUGGAAACAAUGGCAGCUUAUUGUGAAUGUUAUUUAUAAUUCAAAAUGCAUUGUGUCUACCUGAUUUGAAAAAAGGCAUUGUGUAUGCUUUUUGAGCACUCAUCAUUGUUUUAUACAUUUUUAGGUGUCGUGAGUCACCCGUGACCUAUUUUUGCAAUUGGCAGUCAUCCUUCGGGUGUUAACAAUAGAACAUUUUUAAUUUCUUCUUGAUAGCUACUCUCCCAAUUCUUUUCAAAUUUGAUAUAGAACAUUUUUGGGACAAGGGGGACAUAAAUUGUAAAUUUUAGGACCCAUGAACCCCUGUGGCCAUAAGGGUGGGUGGGCCAAAAAUUGACCAGCUUUCAAAAAUCAUCUUCUUUACAAGCACACAUCUGUAAGAAAAACCAAAUACAUAGUGAUGUAGAGGAGGAUGGUCUACACUAAACAUAAAUUUCCUGAUUCUCGGGCUAGAGGUUCUGACAUUAAGAUAGGGCAUACUCAGGUGACCAAUAAGGCUUUUGGGCCUCUUGUUUUUAUUUCUUUUUAAAUUCCCUGAGUUUUACUGAUGGAAAUUAGUUCUUUGGCUGUGCUUGUCAACUUUUCACAUUUUCUUCUUUUUCUGCUGAACAAGAAGGCUAAUUUCAGCCAAACAUCCAAAAUUCAGGGAAUCUAGCAUCAUUCAGCUAUGUGCCAGUGAUGGUUUCCCGAAACGGGAUAAGUUUUUGAAAUAAUGAAAUUAAGUAAUAGUGAUUUUAAAAUUGUAGUACUUAGAUAUCAGUUAAUUCAAAUGAUGGCACUACAGUAAUGAUAAGGUGUACAUAAGAAUAUUAGAGAUGUUUGGCUUAGUAGUAUAUGAAGGUUCUUGUUAUAUUGAUUGGAAAAAAAAAUGAAGCACUGAAGGUUUAAUCUUGCAUUUUCAUUAUCAUAAACAAAAAGUGAGAUGGGGCCAACCAGCCAAUACAUGGAACUUCAGUAUGCAAUAAGGACUUUCCACUGAGAUAAUACAAAAAAGGAUAUAUAAUUCUAUAUUACAUAUGUCAAAAGCUGUCAAAAGAUGUCAUUGCUAUGUGCCUGUACAAAUUAAACAGUUAAAGACCUCGUACAACAAUCCAUUACCAGAGGAAACGUUAGAAGGUGUGAAUAUAUAUUUAUUUAUCCCGCUUCAGACAAAUUUACAGGUAAUUGAAUGGAUAAAAGCUAAUCACACGACGUCCUGAAACUGACCAUAACAAAUUUAUCCUGCUGAAGACCUGUAGAAAAUUUGUUAAGAUUUCAUUAACAUCUUUGAUAAAUAUCAUUCAAUUACUAAAUUGAAUUCCAUAUACGUGUGUCUCAUUGAAAAUCAUAUUACCACAAUAUCAAAACAUCACAAUUAAAAAUAUGAACACUAACAUUAAAUAAACAAAUCAUGUAUGUUGAAACUGAAUACAUGUAGAUGUACACUGACAGCUACAGUCAGUUUGGGGCGUAAUACAGAGUCAUCCACGGUGUGAAAUGGAAAUCUAUAUUGGGACUCGCGCCCCAUUUCAUACCCUGGAUGACUCUGUAUUAUGUCUUAAACUGACAGUGUAACUUAAUUAUAAUAUAAAUUAAUAAUUUCUUUAUCUACAUAAGAUGGUUAUGUAUUAUUAUGAUGUAUUCAUAUUCUAUAUUUCAGUUUGCGUUUGUAUUUGAUGAAUUCAAUUAUGCAUUGACAACAUCAAUUUUUAUACAUGUAGGCCUUUGAUUGAUUAAUUAUCUAUCUAACUACAUGUAUCUACAGAACUGUAUAUAUAAUUCAUUUAAUAUUUACCUAAAUAUGAUAUGUUAAUCCAUAUUUUAGUUUCCAUUUGUAUGUAAUAAAUUCAAUUGUACAUUGGCAACAUCUAGCUGAUUCAAUGUUUAUAGGCCCAUGUUUAAUUAUCAAAAUGGAUAUAAUAAUACGUGCAUUGAUUAUGAAAAUUCAAUGAAAAAAUGAAAACCUGUAGCUGAUGUAAAUAUAAUUUCAAUAUCAAUUCCUAUGGGCCUCUUGUUUUAAUUUCUAAUUACAUAAUUGUAAUGGUUGCUAUGCAUGAUGACAUUAUUCUAAUCUGGAUGUUUCCUAUCGUAACUUUUAAUUGGUUAAAAUAAUGUCCUUAUCAUAUACUUUAAAGAGAAUAUUGACAAAACGUGUUCUUCAUAAAUAUCAUGACAUUGUUUAGAAUUUACUUCAAAUUGUGUGCAUCAAUGAGUUUCAAGUGUUAAAAAUGAAUGAAAUUCUACGUCAUAAUAUAUCACUCGUGACGUCAUCUCUCUGGAACCAUGCAAGAUAAGACCAUAGAAUUUUCAAUGCACAAUUAGGCAUACAUGUGUGUCAUUUUAAAGCAAAAAUCUCAUUUUUGAUAAAUUUCCUGAUUUGUAAUAUAUUGGACUCGAGUAGUUUAAUAAUUUGGCAUCAGCAUAAUAAAUUAAUAUUCCUCAACUCAAAUACAAAAUGGAAGAAACUCUUGGUCAAUUUUUCAUGCCUGAAACUCUACAUAUAUGAGCAUUUAUGCCAAUAUUACAUCAAGACAGAGUACUAGGGUAUAUGAGGUAUGCACAUACAUCUGCAUUUCUAUGGGUACAGCAUUGAGAGUGAACUAAUUGUUAAUAAGAGAAUUGAAUGAUAUUCACAGAAUAUGUGACCAGCCAUGAGAUUUUGGUUCCAUUUUAGAUUUUAGUUGCAUUAAUAUUACUAUUAAUGUAAAUGUAAUUUAAGUAGCAGGUUACUUAUAUAUUGCAUUGUGUAAAUUAUCUUAUAGCUAUAAUAAAUACAUGUGACCAUA